rnacentral:rRNA from 1 species
GAGGGAGCUUGCUCCCUGGAUUAGUGGCGAACGGGUGAGUAACACGUGAGUAACCUGCCCUUGACUCUGGGAUAAGCACUGGAAACGGUGUCUAAUACCGGAUACGAACUUCAGCCGCAUGGCUAGGAGCUGGAAAGAAUUUCGGUCAAGGAUGGACUCGCGGCCUAUCAGCUAGUUGGUGAGGUAAUGGCCCACCAAGGCGACGACGGGUAGCCGGCCUGAGAGGGUGACCGGCCACACUGGGACUGGGACACGGCCCAGACUCCUACGGGAGGCAGCAGUGGGGAAUAUUGCACAAUGGGCGCAAGCCUGAUGCAGCAACGCCGCGUGAGGGACGACGGCCUUCGGGUUGUAAACCUCUUUUAGUAGGGAAGAAGCGAAGUGUUUUACACGGAGUGACGGUACCUGCAGAAAAAGCACCGGCUAACUACGUGCCAGCAGCCGCGGUAAUACGUAGGGUGCAAGCGUUAUCCGGAAUUAUUGGGCGUAAAGAGCUCGUAGGCGGUUUGUCGCGUCUGCUGUGAAAACUGGGGGCUCAACCCCCAGCCUGCAGUGGGUACGGGCAGACUAGAGUGCGGUAGGGGAGAUUGGAAUUCCUGGUGUAGCGGUGGAAUGCGCAGAUAUCAGGAGGAACACCAAUGGCGAAGGCAGAUCUCUGGGCCGUA